UACGGGUGGUCAAAUAAAUGCAAGGUAUUUAAUCAACAAAUGCAUUUUGAUCAUUAUUACUCCCUCCGUAAAGAAAAGAAGUAUAAGACCGUUUCGAUCACGUAACUACAUACAUGAUCUAAAUGGUCUUAUUUCUUUGCGGAGGGAGUACUUUGUUAGUUCCUGAUUCAUGUACUCCCCUGGGCAUCUUAAUAACUGUUUAUAGAUAUUUUAUGUACCGCAAAGCCAUGACGAAAUGAUGUCAUUACGGGUGGAAAACAUAGUAUUAGUUGAGAGAAAAAAAUAAAGAUAAUUUUGUCCCACCUCAACUGCCUGGCGCACUAAGCCGAAUAGAAUCAACAUGGGAAAUGAUUUUUUGAGGUGGUGAAGAACCAGAAAGGUGACAAGGAGAGAACCUUCCACCAUAAAGCCACACUGCGUUGAGGCAUGCACUUCACCUGCCGCGCAGCUCACCACCAAGAAAGAAAAAUGGAAACGACAACUACUACACAAGGAAUACUCAGCUUCCGCUGUUACACGAUACUCAGAUUAAAAAGCUCUGACUUUUCCGCGGCCAGUGUAACCUCAAGGACACUCAACCCCAUGGUUCCAUGUCAAAAUAAAAUAAAAUAACACUCAGCUCUCUAGUCUCAAAUCACGGAGGGCACUCAACAACAGUGCACUUCGAACAGUGAUUUUUCACCUAGCACUAGAGGAUAUGGAAAGCUGAACUUUUUUCUUCUGAAAUGGAGCAUGCGAACUGAAUUACCACAAGCCCAGACGUCAAGAAGGAAUUCACCAAGAGGCGACAAAGCAAAGUUGAGCAGCGAGUACCUGAAGCUCUCUGAGCAAAGCGCCGCAGCCGGUACCCUCCAUGCCCACCAUGGAACGGAAGCAACCAAGCAGAGGGAGGAGCAGCUCAAAGAAGAGAAGAGGCAAGGAGGUGAAGGGACAAGGCGACGCAAAGUCUCAAAGACACUUAUCCACCCCUAGGCCGGCCGUCGAGCUACGCCGCACUGAGCAGCGGCUAGGCCAUUAGCCGAGGCGGCGCCUGAGCUUUUUUAUGUAGGCUCGUCCUCCUCCUCUACUUGGGAUGAGGAAAAGAAGAGGAAAAAGCAGGCGCGCCAAAUGCCAGCAGCCCCCUGGGAACGGGAUCAAAGGAAGAAGAGAAGUGGAGCGGAGGGGGCGAGGGUGCACGAGAAUUUGCGAGCUUUUUAGGAUGGCUGGGUUUUUGCCGUUUGCUUAUAGUUAUAGCCUUAUAGGGAGGGCGGGUCCGUUUGUUUGUCUCUCGGGAGGUUGGGAGUGAGCAGAGGCCAGCGGAGAGGGGCGAUGGAGAGUGGCCUUCGUCUUUCCUUUUUUUUAUUUAAUAUUAAUAUUAAUGGUGUGUGUGUGUGUGGCUGUGCACGGAAGAUUCCCUGGGAAUUUUGUUCAAGCUACAAAAUGAUUUGGGUCUGGCUAGUGCCCAAUACUUUUAUUUACA
rnacentral:lncRNA from 1 species